GUCUACGGCCAUGCCACCCUGAACAAGCCCGAUGUCUGAUCUCAGAAGCUAAGCAGGGUCAGGCCUGGUUAGUACUUGGAUGGGAGACCACCUAGGAAGACCAGGUUCUGUAGGCA
rnacentral:rRNA from 1 species